rnacentral:rRNA from 1 species
GAUGAACGCUAGCGGCAGGCCUAAUACAUGCAAGACGAACGGUAACUAGAGUAGCAAUACUUUGGCUAGAGUGUCGUAAGGGUGUGUAACACGUAUGCAAUCUGCCCUGUACAGGAGCAUAGCUCCCCGAAAGGGGAAUUAACUCUCCAUGGUAUAUUUGAGUGGCAUCACUUGAAUAUUAAAAUUACGAUGGUACAGGA